rnacentral:rRNA from 1 species
GACGAACGCUGGCGGCGUGCUUAACACAUGCAAGUCGAGCGGUAAGGCCCUUUCGGGGGUACACGAGCGGCGAACGGGUGAGUAACACGUGGGUGACCUGCCCUCAGCUCUGGGAUAAGCCUGGGAAACCGGGUCUAAUACUGGAUAUGACUCCAUGACGCAUGUUGUGGGGUGGAAAGCCUUGUGCGGCUGAGGAUGGGCCCGCGGCCUAUCAGCUUGUUGGUGGGGUGAGGCCUACCAAGGCGACGACGGGUAGCCGGCCUGAGAGGGCGACCGGCCACACUGGGACUGAGACACGGCCCAGACUCCUACGGGAGGCAGCAGUGGGGAAC